GAUGAACGCUGGCGGCGUGCCUAAUACAUGCAAGUCGAGCGAACAGGCGAGGAGCUUGCUCCUCUGACGUUAGCGGCGGACGGGUGAGUAACGCGUGGAUAACCUACCUAUAAGACUGGGAUAACUUCGGGAAACCGGAGCUAAUACCGGAUAAUAUAUUGAACCGCAUGGUUCAAUAGUGAAAGACGGUUUUGCUGUCACUUAUAGAUGGAUCCGCGCCGCAUUAGCUAGUUGGUAAGGUAACGGCUUACCAAGGCAACGAUGCGUAGCCGACCUGAGAGGGUGAUCGGCCACACUGGAACUGAGACACGGUCCAGACUCCUACGGGAGGCAGCAGUAGGGAAUCUUCCGCAAAGGGCGAAAGCCUGACGGAGCAACGCCGCGUGAGUGAUGAAGGUCUUCGGAUCGUAAAACUCUGUUAUUAGGGAAGAACAAAUGUGUAAGUAACUAUGCACGUCUUGACGGUACCUAAUCAGAAAGCCACGGCUAACUACGUG
rnacentral:rRNA from 1 species